rnacentral:rRNA from 1 species
CAACGUAGGUAACCUGCCCAUGUGUCCGGGAUAACUGCUGGAAACGGUAGCUAAAACCGGAUAGGUAUACAGAGCGCAUGCUCAGUAUAUUAAAGCGCCCAUCAGGGCGUGAACAUGGAUGGACCUGCGGCGCAUUAGCUAGUUGGUGAGGUAACGGCCCACCAAGGCGAUGAUGCGUAGCCGGCCUGAGAGGGUAAACGGCCACAUUGGGACUGAGACACGGCCCAA